rnacentral:rRNA from 1 species
GACGAACGCUGGCGGCGUGCUUAACACAUGCAAGUCGAACGGAAAGGCCUGCUUUCCCUUGUGGAUUGCGGGUACUCGAGUGGCGAACGGGUGAGUAACACGUGAGUGAUCUGCCCCCAACUUGGGUAUAAGCCUGGGAAACUGGGUCUAAUUCCCGAUAGGACUGCAGGGUGGUGCCUGUGGUGGAAAACGAUUUUCUAGUGGUUGGGGAUGAGCUCGCGGCCUAUCAGCUUGUUGGUGGGGUAAUGGCCUACCAAGGCGGCGACGGGUAGCCGGCCUGGGAGGGUGGACGGCCACAUUGGGACUGAGAUACGGCCCCGACUCCUACGGGAGGCAGCAGUGGGGAAUAUUGCACAAUGGGCGUAAGCCUGAUGCAGCGACGCCGCGUGGGGGAUGACGGCCUUCGGGUUGUAAACUCCUUUCGACCGCGAGGAAGCCACCUGGUUGGAAGGGUGGUGACGGUAGUGGUAGAAGAAGCACCGGCUAACUACGUG